UGGGGAAUAUUGGACAAUGGGGGAAACCCUGAUCCAGCCAUGCCGCGUGAAUGAUGAAGGCCUUCGGGUUGUAAAGUUCUUUUGGUGGGGACGAUGAUGACGGUACCCACAGAAUAAGCUCCGGCUAACUUCGUGCCAGCAGCCGCGGUAAUACGAAGGGGGCUAGCGUUGUUCGGAAUUACUGGGCGUAAAGGGCGCGUAGGCGGUUUGAUAAGUUGGGUGUGAAAGCCCAGGGCUCAACCCUGGAACUGCACUCAAGACUAUCUAACUUGAAUUCGGUAGAGGUUGGUGGAAUUCCCAGUGUAGAGGUGAAAUUCGUAGAGAUUGGGAAGAAUAUCCGUGGCGAAGGCGGCCAACUGGACCGACAUUGACGCUGAGGCGCGAAAGCGUGGGGAGCAAACA
rnacentral:rRNA from 1 species